GUUUGUUCCUACAUGGUGGAAUGGGAUCGGACUAGAUGGUCCUUGGGGUCUCUUCCAACUCUAUCUUUCUAUGAUUCCAUCCAAAUACAUGGCUUUUAAGGUGGGUUUCGGGGAUCAAAUAGGAAGCCACAGCAGCUCAGAGUUUGAUGCUCUCCUUUGCCGCCUUCCUCUAUUUCACACCCCCUCUUAUGCAAAUUUCCGAAGCUCAAAUAUCAUUUCCACGCAGGUAGUGGCAUUUACGCAAGUCCUCUGAAAACACAUCUUAUCCCAGAGCCUAUUUUUAUGUACUCAUUUCCCUCUGGAUGCCUCGACAGAAUCCCAAUGAUAAGCUCAGUGUAUGCAAAGUUCUAAAAAGUCUCGGUGCCCCCCUACCGCCUCAAUCAGAUUCCUCGAGUGAGAUGAAAGAAGGAUCUACAUUAUUCAAGGCCAUAAUCAACACACACACACAAAAAAACACCCAAACUGCUCCUUCUAUCUUCCAUCUUCUUAAACUGCUGAGAAAGAUAAAUAGAUAGAUAGAUAGAUAGAUAGAUAGAUAGAUAGAUAGAUAGAGAUAGACAGAUGGUAGUGAGAUAGAGAGAGAUUACAGCAGUGGGUGUUGAGAUGAUAGAUAAAUGGAGACAGAAAGAGAUAGAUGAUCGAUAGACUAUAGUAAUGUCGGUGAAAGAUGAUUGAUAGAGAGAUGUUAUUGAUAGAUUAUAGCAGCAGAUGUUGAAAAAGACAUCGAGAGAGAUAUAUUAUAACAGUAUAUUUAGAAAAAGAUAGAUAAGUAGAUAGAUGAUUGUUAGAUGGAUAGAUGGGAAGCUAUAAUAGAUAAAUGGAUAGCAUGAUAGGGAAUAGAGUUAAGGAGGAAUAUUAGGGGGAAACGGGUGCAAGAGGAUGAAAAUCAGAUUUCUUGAGCUUUGGGGAACCCUGAAAAAAAGAAUCUUGGGCAGAUGAUCAUCUUUCUUCAAGAUGUAGAACUACCCUGAGUGCCAUUUUGGAAGUAAGAUUGUAUAUAAACCAUAUAGCCUUGAGGUCACCCUUUUUCACCCAGCACCACACCAGAGUCCAGUAGUAUCUAACUAUAGAAGUUUAUUUACAGUAGCAUACACAAAAGGGAAAAAAGGAAUUCCCAAAAAGGAGUAGAAAAGUUGCUAUAAUGUAGCAGUACUCUAUAUAUACAAAGUUCAAUCGGCCAUAAAGGCAAGGGGCCGGGCUGUGGCGCAGCUGGCUAGUAACCAGCUGCAAUAAAUCACUACUGACUGAGAGGUCAUGAGUUCAAAGCCUGGGUCGGGUUAAGCCUCUGACCAUUAAAAUAGCCCCGUUUUGCUGUUGACCUAUGCAGCCCUGAAAGACAGUUGCAUCUGUCAAGUAGGGAAAAUUUAGGUACGCUUUAUGCGGGAGGCUAAUUUAACUAAUCUACAACACCAUAAAACUGCCAGCAAAACACGAAGAAAAGAAUGAGGAAGAACAGCCACUAGUGGAAGGUGAAGCAACAGCUCCCCCUGUGGCCGGAAUCGUGAAGCUGGAAAGAUGUUAAAAUGCCUCGGUGUCUGUCUAAACUAAAUGUUGUUUGUCUGUUGGCAUUGAAUGUUUGCCAUAUAUGUGUUCAUUGUAAUCCGCCCUGAGUCCCCUUCGGGGUGAGAAAGAAGGACGGAAUAUAAAUACUGUAAAUAAAUAAAUAAAAUAAAGGUACGUCGAAUCCAGGAAACCAAGACCCUAGGCAUAAAUCCAUAAGCAUAAAAACAGUAGUUUCCAAGGCGAUACUCUUACAGGAACAUAGGCAAAAACAAGAAACAAGAUUCAUGAGCAUGAGAGCUGAUCCAGGAACUUGAUUUUAUGGCAACGUUGUCUGCUCUGGAGACUCUAAGAAAAGAUCACUUACUGUAUAUACUCGAGUAUAAGCCUAGUUUUUCAGCCCUUUUUUAAGACGGAAAAAGCCCCCCUCGGCUUAUACUCGGGUGAGGGUCCUGGUUGGCUUAUAUUUGGGU
ensembl:lncRNA